CUUGGAGGGCCCAGGAAGUUCAAGACACUUGUGAAGCUUCAGUGUCUUAUCUCAGCAAACAGAGUUGAACCUGUAUCCAUCUGUCAACAAUGUGAAGAUUUUGGGGCAGUACUUAUAAAAUGGGUUCGAUAAAGGUAUCUGCUGAUGUUGAAGAAGACAGCUAUGAAUGGUUUGAAGGUCCAGCCUUCCAAAGCAUGCUAACAUUUGAUUGUCACUGUGGCAACUUUCCAAGUUGGGAACGUUGAAAGGUGACUGAUCUACGAGGUCUAUGCCUUCCUGAAUGGACUAAUGCCACUGCCACAGGAUCAAAGAAUGAAUUUGGUUCACUUCUCAUCUCUCCGUUUUCAUUCACCUUCUACCAUUUGAUGCUGCAUCAAGAAAGUUUCUGACCAGUGCUAACUCCUUGGUGUGGACUCUCAGACCCUUGAACUGUCAGAAAGAAAAUUAUACAUUCCUCAGUCUUGGGUGCUCUUAUAUAGCAGCAUAAUAUGGACUGAGACAAGGAUGGGCACGGUAUAUUUCUAUGUUUCAUUGCUUCUGCUGGGCUCCUCCAGCCCCACCUCCAACCCAAGAAAUCUAUGGAUGUGAUCACUGAG
rnacentral:lncRNA from 1 species